CUCUGCUCUGCUGCUGUGGUUGAAAAGAGACUCAGCAGAAGCAUUAACUAAUGCUGUUUUCAAGCGCUUUUUUGCCUUCUCCUUCCUCGAGUCUAGAAAGAGAAAACGCAGAUACCUUCUCUGCAGCAUCUUGCCAUUUCCAACAGUCGGAACAUCAACAAGAGUGUGUUGGGGCUGCCCGCGUAUGAUCCAGCGUCGGAAAUGAUGAGGAAGGAGAAAACGCGCAACAAGCUCGCUACCUCUGGUCUUGCUCGUGUGUACAGCUGUUCUCUGGUUCUUUUCCAAUCCAGGUACAAAAAGACUAGGAAACUUCACACACCCAUUGAAGCUGAGCAACCGAGCAAGCCAUUACACGAGGCUCUGACCUUGACUCUAUCAUUCAAGAAAUCCAGGGAAAAUUCAGAAACACCCCUCGACCUAUCGGCGCAGAUGAAGAUGGGCACUUCUUCGAUGCACAUGUAAAUCGGGCUACACGUCCACGGCCUCCACUUCCUCCCUUUCUCUCAUUUUUUUUUUUUUUUAGCUCCAGCUUUAUUUAUAUUUGUUGGGUCAUAGUGAAAUGGAUGUUCUGCUUUUGUUGGCAUUCUUCUUGUUCAAUAUUGUAGCGUAAAUUCUAUGCAUUGGAGGAACAUGUUCUCUUCUUUAGUUGAGCUCAGUGAAUAAAUUGAGUCACUCGAUUGGUUUCACCAUCAGCGUAUCAGAGGUAAUACCCCAAAUCGUUUUCUACUUCGGUACUAGUUUUAUUCAUGACAUAGACUUGAUAGAUUGAAUAAAAGAUGUGGUGCUUUUGUGGACUCUUGAUAUGUGUUCCCGCAGUGAUUGAACUAUAACUGGAUGAGUUUACAAGAUUCCUUAUAUGACUCGUUUACAUAUUUUUCUGGUGGCCGUUUGAUUGUGAAACUACUAAUAUGGCCAAAUCCGACUGAAUGUGGAAAGUCCAAUUUUCAACUAGAAUUGGAUGGUUCCGUGGUGUGGCUUUAUUCAUGAUUGUCCUUCUUUGGCAUGUAUUUAAUAUUUCUGCAAAGACUUGUUUCACUUGGAAGCUUUUUAUAUGUGAAUCCUUGUUAUCUUAUAGGUGAAUCCAAUCAAGUAUAACAUCAUUUAUUCAUGUUUCACUACUCUAUUGAGUAAGCAAUGCCCUUCUGCCCUUUGGAGAGGUUGGGCUACCAAGUUCUUUAGAUAUGGUGCUCAAGGUGGGUGUAGAUUCAGUCUCUAUGAGUACUUCAAACGGGUUUAUUCCAAUGCCUUGAUUGGCAGCAAUAGGAGCUUGAUUUUUUUUCUCGGCAGUGCUUCUGUGGAAGCAUUUGCAAAUGUGGCACUUUGCCCUUUUGAAGCUGUUAAAAUCCGGGUUCAAGCACAAUCCCACUUUUCAAAAGGCUUGGUUGAUGGCUUCCCUAAAGUAUAUGCAUCAAAAGGGCCUUCUAGGGUAAUUUUCUGUGGCCUUAGUAUUGUUUACUUGUGUUAGAGGUAGAAGGGACAGUCCAAUGCUUUUCUUGCUUUCAGAUUUUACAGAGGGCUUCUACUGCUUUGGUUGAAAUCUUCUGUGUAAUCUUUUCAUUCAUUCUCGGGCUACAGAGUUGGUCAGCUUUCUCAUAUUGAAUAUUGCAUGUAAAAGAUGCUUCGAUGAACGGAAGCUGUUCUAUGGGAGAGCAGACCAUUCUCUUUCUAAGUGACAUUAAAAACUUAAUCCCCAACUUUGUUAGGUGGGAGAGCUGGUCUAUAGGUGGUUGGUUUGUCCUCAUGUUAUGCUUGCAUCUUUUACUUCUGAACGUUUAUUGUCCAUAUUAUGUUCACAAUAAAGUAUGGAAACUCACACCAAGUUGUUGAACCAUUGGUGCAAGAAACCUGGUAUUAUUGCAUAUUGAUCCUCUCUUAAUUUUGUCCCUAGGCAGUUUCAAUGGUGAUGUUCUCGACAUUUGAGCAUUCAGUGGAUUUCCUUUAUCGUGUUAUUAGAAGAAGAAAGGAGGAUUGCUCAAAAGUUUAACAACUCGGGGUAACAUGCUUAGCUGGAUAUGUUGCUGGAUAUGUUGGUAGCUUCGUAUCAAAUCCUGCCAACAAUAUUGUUGCUUCCAUCAACAACAAAAAAGCUGACAGUCUCAUGCCGGCAAUCAGGAAUAUCAAGGUUGCGAAUCUGUUUACGAGGAGCCUUCCCAUUAGAAUUAUACUCGUUGGACCCGUUGUAACUCUGUAGUGGUUGUUCUAUGAUACCAUCAAGAUUCUUAGUGUAUUGUAAGUGCACACUUGCCUUUCUAAUUUUACUGUUUCUUUUGUCAUUAAAUUGUCUUAUUCACUUGUUUUCUCUUUAUGGGUGAGUUUUUUCUUGGAUAAUUGCCUAAUGUACGCACAAACAGGAUUCUUCUACCUCUAAUUUUAUUUACAAGGUUUGGAGUUUUGGUCA